UCGCCUCCGCCGCGCCAGCUGCACCGCCACCAUCGUCGCAGCCACCACCACCACCACCACUGGCAUCAUCCCACUCGCAGCCCCAGCCCUCGCCGCAGACCAAGUCGCCAUUGCCCGCGACGCCGCAGCCUCAACACCACCACCAGCAGCAAAGCAGUAUGGACAUUGUCAUGACGCCCGCAGCCGAGCCGCACGACGCGGCGGGCGGCGG
rnacentral:lncRNA from 1 species